rnacentral:Y_RNA from 1 species
GGUUGGUUGGAGUGCAGUGGUGUUUACAACUAAUUGAUCACAACCAGUUACAGAUUCCGUUGCUCCUUCUCCAGUCCCACUGCUUCUCACUUGACAAGCCUUAA